rnacentral:rRNA from 1 species
AUACGUAGGGGGCAAGCGUUGUCCGGAAUUACUGGGCGUAAAGCGCGCGCAGGCGGAUUAUUAAGUCAGGUGUGAAACCUCUGGGCUCAACCCAGAGCAUGCAUCUGAUACUGGUAAUCUUGAGUGUAGAAGAGGAGAGUGGAAUUCCUAGUGUAGCGGUGAAAUGCGUAGAUAUUAGGAGGAACACCAGUGGCGAAGGCGACUCUCUGGUCUAUAACUGACGCUGAGGCGCGAAAGCGUGGGGAGCAAACAGGAUUAGAUACCCUGGUAGUCCACGCCGUAAACGAUGGGUACUAGGUGUUGGGGGUUUCGAUGCCCUCAGUGCCGGAGUUAACACAUUAAGUACCCCGCCUGGGGAGUACGUUCGCAAGAAUGAA